AAACAAAAGUUUCUAUGUUUUAUCCUGUAGCUGAUUUUAUUACCUUUAAACAAUAAGAUUGUUUUCCUUUCACAGAGAACGCUGGCCUGAAAAGAAGUGUGCUGCUCACAGCACUAUUUUCCAUCCAUCUGGUUGCUGCAGGUGCAUAAGGCUGGUGAAAAUUUUGCAGUGUGCUCGAGUCCUGGUGCACCUGCUGCUAGACCUGUCUGAAAGCCCCGGCAUCGCCUGCCCAGGAGUGUGAAGAAUGACUGAAGCGUUAAAUAAGGACGUGGCCUGUGAAAACCUUUGUGUGGAUGUGCUUUGGGUCCCUGUCUCUGCAUGAAGCCAGCUCCUGAUGGGCAAGUCCCUUCUCUGCAGCCCCAGGCUGCCAGGAGAGGGCAGGCAGCUGCCAGCAGCCCGCUGGAGGAUGAGAAACCCUUCACAUGCAGCUAAGAAAUGUGUGAUCAAAGUUGCAGAUGAACACAUGCACCUGUUUGUGUACAGGCACUGUGAACACUGAGCCCCCAGACGUCAGGGUAGAGCUGCUGCAGAUCCCUCUCCUGUGCCUUUGCAGUGAACCUCCGGUGGCCCCGUCUGCCCGCCC
rnacentral:lncRNA from 1 species